rnacentral:rRNA from 1 species
AUCUGCCCAGGGUAAGUCGGGACCUAAGGCGAGGCCGACAGGCGUAGUCGAUGGAUAACCGGUUGAUAUUCCGGUACCCGCUGUGAAGCGUCAAACAUUGAAUCCAGUGAUGCUAAGCCCGUGAAGCCGUUCCGGACCCUUCGGGGAAUGGAAAGUGGUGGAGCCGGUGGCCCGAGCUGGUAGUAGGUGAGUGAUGGGGUGACGCAGGAAGGUAGUCCAUCCCGGGCGGUGGUUGUCCCGGGGUAAGGGUGUAGGCCGUGCGAUAGGUAAAUCCGUCGUACAUGUGGCUGAGACCUGAUGCCGAGCCGAUUGUGGUGAAGUGGAUGAUCCUAUGCUGUCGAGAAAAGCCUCUAGCGAGUUUCAUGGCGGCCCGUACCCUAAACCGACUCAGGUGGUCAGGUAGAGAAUACCGAGGCGUUCGGGUGAACUAUGGUUAAGGAACUCGGCAAAAUGCCCCCGUAACUUCGGGAGAAGGGGGGCCAUGUCUGGUGAUGAGUCUUGCACUCUGAGCUGGGUGUGGCCGCAGAGACCAGCGAGAAGCGACUGUUUACUAAAAACACAGGUCCGUGCGAAGCCGUAAGGCGAUGUAUACGGACUGACGCCUGCCCGGUGCUGGAACGUUAAGGGGACCGGUUAGUCACAUUUCGGUGUGGCGAAGCUGAGAACUUAAGCGCCAGUAAACGGCGGUGGUAACUAUAACCAUCCUAAGGUAGCGAAAUUCCUUGUCGGGUAAGUUCCGACCUGCACGAAUGGCGUAACGACUUCUCGACUGUCUCAACCAUAGGCCCGGUGAAAUUGCAUUACGAGUAAAGAUGCUCGUUUCGCGCAGCAGGACGGAAAGACCCCGGGACCUUUACUACAGUUUGAUAUUGGUGUUCGGUUCGGCUUGUGUAGGAUAGGUGGGAGACUGUGAAGCAUGCACGCCAGUGUGUGUGGAGUCGUCGUUGAAAUACCACUCUGGUCGUGCUGGAUGUCUAACCUGGGUCCGUGAUCCGGAUCAGGGACAGUGUCUGAUGGGUAGUUUAACUGGGGCGGUUGCCUCC